UUUGUAUGAAAACAGCGUGUCGAAUUUUUAUAUAUAUUUUUUUUAAUAAUGAGAUAGAAUUUUAAUAACCUUAAGAAUGAUUUGAAAUCCAAAAAAACAACAAAAAGUUGACAAAUAAUUUGAGAAAAAUAAAAUUUAAAAAUUAUUUAGAUGUUUGCUGAAUCCUAGAUUACUUAU
ensembl:ncRNA B0025.6 ncRNA